UUGUUGUUGUUUAUUUUUUGUAACGAUUUAAUGUGUUCAAUAUUUAAUGUUGUAUAUUAAUGGAAUGAUUUUAUUUGGUCCUAAACAAACCUCUACACUAUGAGAAAUCCAUCCUAUGAAAGUCAUAAUCAUAUAAUUGUUAUAUUUACUAAUGGAAUAAUAAUUAUAUUUUAUAUAAUAUAGUACAUAUUAGUUCAAGUAUGUCAUAUCAAACAUUUCCCAUCUGCUCCAGCCACAGAAGUUAGAAUUGUAGAAUUGGAAGGCUAAUUUAGAAUUGUAAUGAUAUAAAGAAUCAAUGUGAAAAGCCUUUAGAAGAAAACAACAGAUGAUGAUGUCCAUAUAGCUAGAUCAGGAAUACACUUUUGAAUGAGAUAAAACAUACAUAAUGCCUUCAUAAUGGAUUUCCCCUGGCUAAUAUAUUUAAUAUUUAUUGUAGCAUUUAUGUACAUUGUUUUUGCAGAUUUUUAAUAAUGUCUUCUCCCAUGAGUAACAAAUUGGAUUACCAGUUUGUUCAGUCUUUCACUUGUGAGGAUGCAUUGAUUAUGGCAUGAACUUAUGACCUUUUAAUGGACUGAACUGAGACCUCAACACACAGAGAUCUAGCAUUCCAACAUGCCAUUGCCAUGGCACAACACAUAUCUAGGACCUCCUGUUGUGACACAAGCAUUGCAAUUCAAUGGAUUGACAGAAAAAAAAAAAAAAAAAAAAUCUACUGUAAAAUGAUUUGCUAUUUAUGUUUACUUAUUAACUUCUGGCCGGGUGAAAAUAUAGUAUAAACAUUAUGUAUGUAUAUAUAUAUAUACUGUUAAAUCUAUUUGAUAUUAACACUUUCAGUGAUUGUAAAUGCCCCCAGCACUGUCAAUUACUUUUUCAGCAAAAUUUGCUAUUUUUAAGAACUACUUUGGUUAUAAUGAGGAACCUACAUGCAGUUUAGAAUGUAAGGUUUUAAUGUCCUAUACAAGAUUAUAGCAAUUUUAUAACCCUACUGUAGAACUGUAAUAACAGUAAAUUAUACAACCAACUGACUACUGUGCUAUAUUGUUCCAAAAUAUCUCAAUAUAUCUAAAAUAUCUCAGCAAAAUUAGCAAUAGAAAAUCCACUGAAGCUAAUAAUUAGAAUGACUAGACAUAUAUGUAAUUGAUUAAGUAAUUGGCCAGUUGCUCUCAUUGUAGUGUAAACAAAAGUAAUCUUUGCAAUAUGUAGUAAGAUUUCCUAGUGUACCUACGAAGUGUAUUAAAGUUUAAGAUUUCUUAAGAUAAAUAAAACAAUAGUGUCUGGUAUUAUUCUGAAAUGCUGGGUGGACCUUAGGUAAUUAAUCAUUAAUAAGCAAACUUUCUUAGUAUUUUUGAAACAUUAAAGUUGUGUUCUGUAUCUUAGUGGAAAUAUCAGAUUUGCAUAUUGGUUACUACUUCAGUUAAACCUCUACUGUGUUUUACUUAUGUUGAUUCUGUGAUCACUUGUGUUCAACACCAUCAAAGGGCUAUUUAAUACUGUGGACCAAAGCAUAAAACAUAUUUACUGUAUUGGAUUUACUUUUUUGUAUAUUGCUAUUGAUUAUGUAAAAGUAAACUCCAAAAAAUAUAUGAUGUUCACAGUAUGAUGACAACAAUAAUAAUAAAUAAAUAAAUAAUAUGGAUCAUUAGACAUAA